rnacentral:rRNA from 1 species
GAUGAACGCUGGCGGCGUGCCUAAUACAUGCAAGUCGAGCGACCCGAUGAGGAGCUUUCUCCUCUGACGUUAGCACGGGACGGGACCGUCACUCAUGGUUGACCUACCUCUCCGAAUGGGAUGAUUUUGCGGAACCGUGGCUACUGCCGGAUGAUUUAUUGACCCUCGUUGUUCACUAGUUCAAUUCGCUUUUUCUUUCACUAAUAGCUUACUCCGCGCUGCAUUCGCUAGUUGUUAAGGUAGCGGGUUAACAAGGCAACGAUGCGGAGCCGACCUAAGAGGGUGAUCGGCCAGAUGGUAACGGAGACACGGUCCAGACUCCGACGGGAGGAAGCAGUAGGGAAUCUUCCGCGAUGGGCGAAAGCCUGACGGAGCAACGCCGCGGGAGUGAUGAAGGUCUUCGGACCGGAAAACUCUGUAAUUAGUGAAGAACAAAUGUGUAAGUAACUAUGCACGUCUUGACGGUACCUAAUCAGAAAGCCACGGCUAACUACGUG